rnacentral:lncRNA from 1 species
AUCCAAUCAUGGUUUCAAUGAACUUAUUGAUAUUAUCCAAGAUAUGCUGCCAUAUAGGAACACCCUUCCUAAUUCUUGCAAUGCAAUAAAAAGGUUAUUGAAAACCUUUGAUUUGGGGUAUGAGAAGAUACAUGCAUGCGUAAAUGAUUGUUGUUUGUUUAGAAAUGAUCUAGAGAAUUUGGAUACAUGUCCGAAAUGUGCAUCUUCAUGGUGGAAAGUUCAUGAACGGACUAAGAAGAUUCAAAAAGGGAUACCUGCAAAGGUUCUGCGAUAUUUUUUGAUUAUACCAUGAUUUAGAAGAAUGUUUAGGUCACUUGAUAAGGCAGAACAAUUAAUAUGGCACUCAAAUCACAAAAGUCUAGAUGGAAGCGUCAUCCAGUUGAUUCAUUAGUUUGGGAGAGAAUUGAUAGAAAAAAUGGCCUUGUUUUGCAUCAGAACCACGAAAUCUUAGACUUGGCCUUUCUUCUGAUGGAUUUAAUCCUUUUGGUGACCUAAGUUCUAGGUAUAGUUGUUGGCCAGUGAUACUAGUCAUAUAUAAUCUCCUUCCUUGGAUAUGCAUGUCUAAGGAAAAUUUGUUGUUGACUUUAUUAAUCCCAGGUCCCAAGCAACCUGGAAAUGAUAUAGAUGUGUAUCUAGAACCAUUAAUAAAAGACUUAAAGGAGUUGUGGAAUAUUGGUGUUGAAGUAUAUGAUGGAUUUACCAUGUCCACCUUCAAUUUGAAAGCUAUACCGAUGUGGACAAUUAAUGAUCUUCCGGCUUAUGGGAACUUAUCAAGAUAUUCUAUGAAAGGCAAAGUAGCAUGUCCAGUAUGUGGUUUAUCCACAUGUGCAAAAUGGUUGACUUAUAGUCGAAAGUUUUCAUACAUGGGUCAUAGAAGAUUUCUUGCAUAUAAUCAUCCUUAUCGGUUAAAAGAAGCUUGGUUUGAUGGAAACAAGGAGUAUAGGCCUAGUCCUAAAAUAUUAACCGAUCGAGAAGGAUGUGUUCAAUCAAGAAUGUUAGCAAUAAUUGGGAAAAAUAGAAAAAGAAAAAGAAAAAGAAAAAGAAAGAUGAGAAAAUCAUAUUCUAAUUGGCCAUGGAAAAAAAGUCAAUAUUCUUUGAGCUGCCAUAUUAGG